rnacentral:rRNA from 1 species
GGCCUAACACAUGCAAGUCGAACGGCAGCGCGGGGCAACCUGGCGGCGAGUGGCGAACGGGUGAGUAAUAUAUCGGAACGUACCCUGGAGUGGGGGAUAACGUAGCGAAAGUUACGCUAAUACCGCAUACGAUCUAAGGAUGAAAGCAGGGGACCGCAAGGCCUUGUGCUCCUGGAGCGGCCGAUAUCUGAUUAGCUAGUUGGUGGGGUAAAGGCCUACCAAGGCAUCGAUCAGUAGCUGGUCUGAGAGGACGACCAGCCACACUGGAACUGAGACACGGUCCAGACUCCUACGGGAGGCAGCAGUGGGGAAUUUUGGACAAUGGGCGCAAGCCUGAUCCAGCAAUGCCGCGUGAGUGAAGAAGGCCUUCGGGUUGUAAAGCUCUUUUGUCAGGGAAGAAACGGUGAGGGCUAAUAUCCUUUGCUAAUGACGGUACCUGAAGAAUAAGCACCGGCUAACUACGUGCCAGCAGCCGCGGUAAUACGUAGGGUGCAAGCGUUAAUCGGAAUUACUGGGCGUAAAGCGUGCGCAGGCGGUUUUGUAAGUCUGUCGUGAAAUCCCCGGGCUCAACCUGGGAAUUGCGAUGGAGACUGCAAGGCUAGAAUCUGGCAGAGGGGGGUAGAAUUCCACGUGUAGCAGUGAAAUGCGUAGAGAUGUGGAGGAACACCGAUGGCGAAGGCAGCCCCCUGGGUCAAGAUUGACGCUCAUGCACGAAAGCGUGGGGAGCAAACAGGAUUAGAUACCCUGGUAGUCCACGCCCUAAACGAUGUCUACUAGUUGUCGGGUUUUAAUUAACUUGGUAACGCAGCUAACGCGUGAAGUAGACCGCCUGGGGAGUACGGUCGCAAGAU